GCAUGCCGUGCGAAAUGCUUAUCUGUAUUUCGUCUGUCUUCAUGUUCUGAGUUCAUAUUCCACCCAGGUCGACUUUACCUUUCAUCCUUUCGGGGUUGAUAAAUUAAAUAAUCGACUGUCCCCCUCCCCAGCCGAUAAACUGACGUACACAAAUCUGAAUUGAAAACGAUCGUGGGUAUCACGAGUAACAACGUCGCCUAACGGUAGAUAUUGGAACUACAGUGCAAUAUGAGCUCCUCCGAAAGACUGAUGAAUAAGACAACACAGCUGAUUUCAUGAUUUCGGUCACUCAGCGGCACUACUUUCUGGUGUGCAGCUUAAUAUUUACUGUACAUAUUUUUAUAUGAUUUUAUUCUUAUUUAUUGUACAGUAACAUGAUUCUAUGUGCUUUUAACGGUUUUCUAGUGAUUUUACGAUUCCAAUAUUUGUGGCGGUCAGACGUAAAACCGAGUAAAUUGAAUUAACUUGAUUUUUAUUUUUCCAUGUUAUUUUUGAAAACUGACGUAUCAAGAACGACUUAAGCCGAGACAAUUUCACCAGUAGCUGCACGUGAAGUCUUCUAAUCAAUCGACUCCUAUGCUCAGUUUAACAUAAAAUUGCCGCAAGAUUGGAAUUUCACUGGUAUGCAUCUGUGAGCCGUUGUGUGAUGAAGAUGCUGCAGCACGGAAUUAUGUCAGUGAACAGGUCGCGGUUUCAAAGCGACGAAAAUAUUUUGCAGAAGCAAAAAGAAGGAAUAACAAGCAGUUGACAACUUCGUGACCUCUACAAGUAGAAAAGUCAUGACUUGUGGCUUCAGUUAACAAUCGAACCCGGAUCGCAGACUGAAUUUACGAGAGCAUACCUCAUAGCAUUCUUUACAAUCCUUAACAUGAGAAAAAUAAAAUACUCACCUUCACAUAGGCCAACAUACACUGACAGAAACAGGAAAAAGAGAUGGGGAUAAAAAUCAGAGCAACAGAACAAGAGUUAACAUCAGUGUUACUAAACUGAAAACAGAUGUGGCAUUUUUUUACUUUGUUCUUGAGUUCCGCAUUUUUUGCGCAUGCACCUUUGCAUUGAUUACAUCAGGUCUUGUAGUUGUUUUUGUUAGUGGAGAACGCAUUAAAAACUUCUCUCGGGAUGCAAGUUUUACUUAUUUGUGCAACGCGAGACUUUAGUGUUUUGAAUCAAUUACAAAGUAAGGGUGUUGAAUAAAUGUAAAAAUCUAGGUGAUAUAUGAGCCAGCCGCAAACAGUACUAUCAUCUGUAUGUAUUCAUAUUAUAUCAACAAUGUAUUAUACAGCUGUACACCCAAUGUGUUUUUCUGCUAUUUUAUUAAGAAUACAUACAUACAUACAUACAUACAUACAUACAUACAUACAUACGUACUAUGUA